GUUUGAACCUUCAACGUGCGUGGGUCAAAUGAUUGUUUAGGUGACUAGAAGCUGCCGAUGAGCUGCCAGUCCGGAUGGCAGCUAUCAACACGGCAAGGGCCUGCAGCCGCAUCAGCCCUCCCCCCGUUCCUCUACUGCCAUUGGAGACAGGAUGCUUUGUAAAAGAUCGUUUCUUUUCUUCAGUGGGAGCUCAUGAAGGUGGCACUGUGCACAGAGGGAUAGAGUGGCUAACAGUGAGCUGCCCAA